CUGGCCUGCCCAAUGAGGAAUUCAAUGGCCGCAGUAUUUUAACUGUGCUAAGGUAGCAUAAUCAUUUGUCUUUUAAUUGAGGGCUGGAAUGAAAGGUUGGACGAGAUAUUGACUUUCUUUAGUUUAAUUUUAAGAAUUUAAUUUUUAAGUUAAAAAGCUUAAAUUUAUUUGUUGGACGAGAAGACCCUAUAGAUCUUUAUAAUUUUAUAUUUUGAUAAUUUGGAGAUUUUAUUUAUUGUAAGUAGAAGAAUUAUUUUGUUGGGGUGACUGUAGAAUUUUAUUAACUUCUAUUAUUUUUAUUUCAUUGAUUGGUGUUUUUUUGAUCCAUAUAUUUAUGAU
rnacentral:rRNA from 1 species